rnacentral:rRNA from 1 species
UACGGGGGGGGGCAAGCGUUGUUCGGAAUUACUGGGCGUAAAGGGCGCGUAGGCGGUGCUCUAAGUCGGAUGUGAAAACUCUGGGCUCAACCCAGAGCCUGCAUCCGAAACUGGGGUGCUAGAGUUCUGGAGGGGAUAGCGGAAUUCCACGUGUAGCAGUGAAAUGCGUAGAGAUGUGGAGGAAUACCGAUGGCGAAGGCAGCCCCCCUGGGAUAACACUGACGCUCAUGCACGAAAGCGUGGGGAGCAAACAGG